UACAGGGGGGGCAAGCGUUGUUCGGAAUUACUGGGCGUAAAGGGCUCGUAGGCGGCCAACUAAGUCCGACGUGAAAUCCCAAAGCUUAACUUUGGAACUGCGUCGGAUACUGGAUGGCUUGAAUUCGGGAGAGGGAUGCAGAAUUCCAGGUGUAGCGGUGAAAUGCGUAGAUAUCAAGAGGAACACCUGAGGUGAAGACGGGUUGCUGGGCCAACACUGACGCUGAGGCGCGAAAGCCAGGGGAGCAAACGGG
rnacentral:rRNA from 1 species